rnacentral:rRNA from 1 species
CCUACGGGCGGCAGCAGUGAGGAAUAUUGGUCAAUGGCCGCAGGGCUGAACCAGCCAAGUCGCGUGAGGGAUGACGGUCCUAUGGAUUGUAAACCUCUUUUGUCAGGGAGCAAAGGGCGCCACGUGUGGCGCUUUGCGAGUACCUGUAGAAAAAGCAUCGGCUAACUCCGUGCCAGCAGCCGCGGUAAUACGGAGGAUGCGAGCGUUAUCCGGAUUUAUUGGGUUUAAAGGGUGCGCAGGCGGAAUGUCAAGUCAGCGGUAAAAUUUCGGGGCUCAACCCCGUCGUGCCGUUGAAACUGGCGUUCUUGAGUGAGCGAGAAGUAUGCGGAAUGCGUGGUGUAGCGGUGAAAUGCAUAGAUAUCACGCAGAACUCCGAUUGCGAAGGCAGCAUACCGGCGCUCAACUGACGCUCAUGCACGAAAGCGUGGGUAUCGAACAGGAUUAGAUACCCUAGUAGCC